UACGUAGGGUGCGAGCGUUGUCCGGAAUUAUUGGGCGUAAAGAGCUCGUAGGCGGCCUGUCGCGUCGGAUGUGAAAGCCCGGGGCUUAACCCCGGGUCUGCAUUCGAUACGGGCAGGCUGGAGUGUGGUAGGGGAGAUCGGAAUUCCUGGUGUAGCGGUGAAAUGCGCAGAUAUCAGGAGGAACACCGGUGGCGAAGGCGGAUCUCUGGGCCAUUACUGACGCUGAGGAGCGAAAGCGUGGGGAGCGAACAGG
rnacentral:ncRNA from 2 species